UACGUAGGGUGCGAGCGUUGUCCGGAAUUAUUGGGCGUAAAGAGCUCGUAGGCGGUUUGUUGCGUCGGCCGUGAAAACCUGCAGCUUAACUGUGGGCCUGCGGUCGAUACGGGCAGACUUGAGUUCGGUAGGGGAGACUGGAAUUCCUGGUGUAGCGGUGAAAUGCGCAGAUAUCGGGAGGAACACCGGUGGCGAAGGCGGUUCUCUGGGCCUUACCUGACGCUGAGGAGCGAAAGCGUGGGGAGCGAACAGG
rnacentral:rRNA from 1 species